AUUGGGACAUAUAUAGAAAAAGACAACUAUGUUCCGCAGAGUAGCUGUUGACAUUAUAGUUGCGCAGGCACUUUGUUGACUCUAGAGAACCUCGGGCCAAUCGCACAUCCCCGUGACGGCGACUCUGCAUUCGGAUGUCAUCCACAUCAACUUUUGAUGCCAGUUUCUGCGCCUUCCAUAGUGACCAUGGGUAACGGGGAAUCAGGGUUCCAUUCCGUACAGGGACCCUGAGAAACGGCUACUACAUGCAAGGAAGGCAGCAGGCG